GAUGAAGAACGUAGCGAAAUGCGAUAAGUAAUGUGAAUUGCAGAAUUCAGUGAAUCAUCGAAUCUUUGAACGCACCUUGCGCCCUUUGGCCAUUCCGAAGGGCAUGCCUGUUUGAGUAUCAUGAACACCUCAACUCUCAUGGCUCGCCAUGAUGAGCUUGGACUUUGGGGGUCUUGCUGGCCUGUGGUCGGCUCCUCUCAAAUGGAUCAGCUUGCCAGUGUUUGGUGGCAUCACAGGUGUGAUAACUAUCUGCGCUUGUGGUUUUCCAUCAGAUAACCUUCAGUGAUGGAGGUUCGCUGGAGCUCAUAAACGGCUCCCCUAAGCGGGGACAGCCCUUUGAAUGUUUGAUCUCAAAUCAGGUAGGACUACCCGCUGAACUUAAGCAUAUCAAUAAGCGGAGGA
rnacentral:misc_RNA from 1 species